GGCGACCAGAGUUGCUGGGCAGUCUUGGGUUUAGUGCCGCAAUGCUGCGCUUCUGACAGGCUGCUUCCUGGAUCCCUGCAGGGACCUGGCCAGGGCAUUGGCCCCAGGUCACCUGUGGCUUUGGGGAGAGGAGUUGCAGGGCUGGCCUGGGCUGUGGGAGGCAGCUGUGCCGUUUUCUGACAGCCAUUGGGACCGCCCCAGUACCCGAAGAGGUGGCUGCCCUGAGUUGCCACGGGAAUUGGAGGGUGGCCCUGGCUCAGCAGCCAACCUCGGGGAGACCUGGAGGAACAGUGCAGUGUAAAGAUGGCGGCCUCGCACUGAGCGGGUCCCCACAGUCGGCACUCCCAGGAGAACCAGCAUGUGGCCCGCCAGCCUGCACCGCGGGCACGUCCUUCCCACCCAGAGGACCCCGCACUGCCUUCAGGGCCAUAGCAGUCCUCCGGGGCCCAGCCUCAGGCAGGAAACAGCAAAUGCUUUUGCUGCCAACCAAGUGCGGCUGUCGCUUUCGAUGGCGCCAGUGGCCCUGGUGCGACUGCCGGGCAGCAUGUGUGGGCGGGGAUGGCUCGGCCACUGACCGUCUCCCCGCAGUGGUGGUCCUGCUGCAUGAUGUCCGUGACGUGAGCGUGGAGGAGGAGAAGGUCCGGUACUUCGGGAAGGGCUACAUGGUGGUGCUCCGGCUCGCAACGGGCUUCUCCCACCCCCUCACGCAGAGCGCGGUCAUGGGCCACCGCAGUGAUGUGGAAGCCAUCGCCAAGCUCAUCACCAGCUUCCUGGAGCUGCACUGCCUUGAGAGCCCCACAGAGCUGUCUCAGAGCAGCGACAGUGAGGCCGGCGACCCUGGGAGCCAGAGCUGACAGCCCCACUGUACCUGAUCCCGUGCACCGCCCACAGGACCCGUGGCACAUUCCCGGUGUGCCUGAGCCCGUGCACCGCCCACAGGACCCGUGGCACAUUCCCGGUGUGCCUGAUCCUGUGCACUGCCCACAGAACCCAUGACCUUGGCUUCAGUCGGUGCCUCCAGCCGAGUUGGCCUAUUGCCUGCUCAUGCUGCUGCUUGCACACUGCAUGAAACAGCAGGCCAGACCAGGACACCCAGACUUUCUCCAUCGUGAGGCCUGGGCCUGCCUUUCUGCAGCCGGAGGUCUCGCCAGCCCUGGACUCCUGCUGUGGGCCACAGCAAGACCUCGGGCAAGUGGAGAGGCGGGGCCAGGCCAGGCCCUUGUGGGUGCUGAUGCUGUGUGUUGUCCCCGACACAGCAGCCUCUCCCUGGUGGACAUCCCCAGCAGUCAGGUGCUUCCCCAAGGGCAGUGAGGUGUGAACAUCCGGGGCCUACCUGGCUGUGCACGCUGCAGCCACACUGGAAGCUGCCCCUCCCCGAGGACCCGCCUCCCUUGCUGAUGCCAGGAUCUCGGCGCAUAGACCGCUCUGCCCCAGUGGUCGUCUCAGAAAGGUCUCUCUGUUCGUCACACUCAGCCUCAGCAUAAGCUGUGAGGCCAGAAAAAAGGUCAGCUCUUCUAGUAUCGUGCAGCGCUUAGAAACCGGGAGCUCCAGCCGGGUGCAGUGGUUCAUGCCAGUAAUCCCAGCACUUUCGGAGGCCGAGGCGGGAGGAUUGCUUGAGGCCAGGAGUUCAAGACCAGCCUGGGUAACACAGCAAGAUCCUGUCUUUGCAAAAAAAUUGACCAAACAAGAAAAACUGGGAGAUUUUCUGCAGAAAUUGAGUUCCAGCCUCUCUCGAACCUGGGAAGACCUGGCAGGAGGGGCUGGGCUCUCCGCUACAGACUUCUCCCCACCCCGUAGGAGCUGAAUGCCAACCAUCCUGACGUGCCAGUGCUCUUGGUCUCCCAAGUGCACCCAGGUCCUCCCAGGUGCAGUGUGCACCGAACACGCCUGGCCUUAUGCCCUGGCCUGUGAGCUGGGGACUCCUGGGCCCUGUGAGCCCCUAGGCGGCAGGCCUAGGAAUGGCUGGGUAGGACAGGGAACGCCUUUGCCCCACGUCUGGCUGUGACCUCGGUGAAAGCCAACAGGAGAGAGAUGGGACCCUCCUCCUCAGUAGUGGCUGCCAGUCCCUCGUUGCAGGACAUGGUCAUCAUAACCAUAAAUAACCCUUCGCGUGUCA
rnacentral:sRNA from 1 species